AAGUAGGGGAUCGUAAGACCUUGCGCUUUUGGAGCGGCCGAUGCCUGAUUAGCUAGUUGGUGGGGUAAGGGCCUACCAAGGCGACGAUCAGUAGUUGGUCUGAGAGGACGACCAGCCACACUGGGACUGAGACACGGCCCAGACUCCUACGGGAGGCAGCAGUGGGGAAUUUUGGACAAUGGGCGGAAGCCUGAUCCAGCAAUGCCGCGUGAGUGAAGAAGGCCUUCGGGUUGUAAAGCUCUUUCAGUCGAGAAGAAAAGGUUGCGACUAAUAAUCGCAACUUAUGACGGUAUCGACAGAAGAAGCACCGGCUAACUACGUGCCAGCAGCCGCGGUAAUACGUAGGGUGCGAGCGUUAAUCGGAAUUACUGGGCGUAAAGGGUGCGCAGGCGGCUCUGUAAGUCAGAUGUGAAAUCCCCGGGCUUAACCUGGGAAUUGCGUUUGAAACUACAAGGCUAGAGU
rnacentral:rRNA from 1 species